UAGGGAAUCUUCCGCAAUGGACGCAAGUCUGACGGAGCAACGCCGCGUGAGUGAAGAAGGAUUUCGGUUCGUAAAACUCUGUUGUUAGAGAAGAACAGCGCAUAGAGUAACUGUUAUGCGUGUGACGGUAUCUAACCAGAAAGCCACGGCUAACUACGUGCCAGCAGCCGCGGUAAUACGUAGGUGGCAAGCGUUGUCCGGAUUUAUUGGGCGUAAAGCGAGCGCAGGCGGUCAAUUAAGUCUGAUGUGAAAGCCCCCGGCUCAACCGGGGAGGGUCAUUGGAAACUGGUUGACUUGAGUGCAGAAGAGGAGAGUGGAAUUCCAUGUGUAGCGGUGAAAUGCGUAGAUAUCGGGAAGAACACCAAUGGCGAAGGCGACUCUCUGGUCUGUAACUGACGCUGAGGCUCGAAAGCGUGGGUAGCAAACAGG
rnacentral:rRNA from 1 species